rnacentral:lncRNA from 1 species
GGUUGACGCGGGGAGCCCGGCGCGCCUUUCCCAGGAAAACAAGAAGAGGCUGCUCCCGGGGCGCGGGAGAUGAGUCACUCCUCAGUUCAGCAAGGGACUGCCCUUCGGACCAGGUGAAGAAAAAGCUCAGCAUGACGGAGCUACUUGCUGGCUAGCAUCUAACUGCUGAGAGGCAAAGCUGGAACUCAAACCCAGCAUUCUACCAGAUCAGUGGUUCUCAAAGUGACAUCCUUUCCCACCGGGGUGCAUUUGACAAUGUCUGGAGAUUUUGAGGACAAAACCAGGGGAUGCCUCUGUCCCCUCCUUGAGAAGGGAUGAUAUGUGUAACCAAUGGAAUAUGCAAAAAUGACAGUGUGACUUCUAAGGCCAAGUCAUAAAAGUCCUUGAAGGUUCCACCUGACUCUCUUUUGGAUCACUCACCUGCCAUGUGGUGAAGACACCUAAGCAGCACCUGGAGAAGCUCACUGGCAGGGAACUGACACCUCUGCCCAACAACCAGCACUGACUUGCAGGUGUGUGAGUAACCUACCUUGGAAGCAGAUCCCACAGCCUCCAUCAGGCCUUCAGGUGACCAGAGUCCAAGCCAACAUCUUUUUUUUUUCCCCCGUUCUUUUUAUGGCCACACCUGCAGCAUAUGGCCACACCUGCAGUUCCUGGACUGGGGGUCAAAUUGGAGCUGCAGCUGCCAGCCUACGCCACAUCUUGUGGCAACGCCGGAUUGAUCCUUAACCCACUAAGUGAGGCCAGGGGUUGAACCCACAUCCUCACAGACACUGUGUUGGGUUCUUAACCCGCUGAGCCACAACCCCCCAAGCCAACAUCUUGACUGCAACAUUGUGGGAUACCCUGAGCCAGAACCAUCCCCACUAACCACUCCUGAAUCCCUGACCUAUUUGGAACCAUGUGAGAUGAUAAAUGUUUAUUGUUUCAAGCUGCUAAAUUUGGGGGGAAUUUAUUUCACAGUAAUUGGAAAUGGUCUAAUUAUGUAACUGCUUACUUGUGGAAUUGUCCAAUAUCCAUUUGGUUGCUGCCUGGAAUGCACCGUCCAUGGAGCUAGGACCCAUUUAUACCAAGUGCUCAGUUAACCAGCAUUGCAUGUCACUGAGGGCCACAAAGACAACCCACCUGCCCUACUACUUCAAGCAAGAUAAAUGUAGUUAAGAAAAGAUUCUGGGUGAGUUCCUGCUGUGGCUCAAUGGCAACAGUGGCGUCUCUGCAGCAUUAAGACGCACAGAGGGUUAAAGGAUCUGGUGUUGCCACAGCUCAGUUGCAGCUGUGGCUAGGAUCUGAUCUCUGGCCUGAGAACUCCAUGUGCCACCAGGUGGCCAAAAAAUUUAAAAGAAAAGAGAUUCUUGGAUGUGUGUCCUGGGGAGAGGGAGAGGGCCGCAAUUAGGAUGACCAAACAUCUCAGUCCCGGGACAGAAAGAUUUCCUGGGACAGCGGACUUUCAGUGCCCAAACUGGGAAAGUCUGGGGUAAACUGGAAUGAGCUGGUCACCUUACCUGGAGUGGGGAGUGGGGAUCUUGAAGCUGAACUUCCAGUAAUCUGGUGGAACUCGGUCACAUUUCUCUGUAGAGGGAGACCCAGCUCCCAUCUCUCUUGGUCAUGGGUGAGAGCCUGCUCCUGGAGCCACCUGGUUUGAUCCUCCUGCCCCACUGGAAUGGAGGAGAUGGGAAAACUGUCUUAGAAAUGCCUAGACCAUGGAGUUCCUAUUGUGGCUCAGCAGGUUAAGAACCCUACAUACUGUCCAUGAGGAUUCCUGUUCAAUCCCUGGCCUCGCUCACUGGUUAAGGAUCUGGCAUUGCCAUGAGCAGCAGUGUAAGUCACAGAUGCAGCUUGGAUCUUGCGUUGCUGUGGCUGUGGUGCAGGCCGGCAGGUAGCUGCAGCUCUGAUUCAACCCCUAUCCCAGGAACUUCCAUGUGCUACAGGUGCAGCUAUA